rnacentral:rRNA from 1 species
GAUGAACGCUAGCGGCAGGCCUAAUACAUGCAAGUCGGACGGGAUUCAGGAGCUUGCUUCUGAUGAGAGUGGCGCACGGGUGCGUAACACGUAUGUAACCUACCUUUAUCAGGGGGAUAGCCUCUCGAAAGAGAGAUUAAGCCCGCAUAAAAUCACAGCACAGCAUUGUGUAAUGAUCAAAUAUUUAUAGGAUAAAGAUGGGCAUGCGGAACAUUAGCUAGAUGGCGGGGUAACGGCCCACCAUGGCGACGAUGUUUAGGGGAUCUGAGAGGAUGGCCCCCCACACUGGUACUGAGACACGGACCAGACUCCUACGGGAGGUAGCAGUAAGGAAUAUUGGUCAAUGGGCGGAAGCCUGAACCAGCCAUGCCGCGUGCAGGAAGACGGCCCUACGGGUUGUAAACUGCUUUUAUACGGGAAUAAACCCAGAUACGUGUAUCUGGCUGAAUGUACUGUAAGAAUAAGGAUCGGCUAACUCCGUG